AAGUCGUAACAAGGUUUCCGUAGGUGAACCUGCGGAAGGAUCAUUCGUAAAUGUCUUGGCUUUACGUUUUUGUGCACUGAUGAUGAUUUUUUUCUUAUUCUGUUGUUUUUUAAAAAGAAAAGCAAUACAACUUUCAGCAAUGGAUCUCUUGGCUCUU
rnacentral:misc_RNA from 1 species